ACUCGAGUGGCGAACGGGUGAGUAACACGUGGGUGAUCUGCCCUGCACUUCGGGAUAAGCCUGGGAAACUGGGUCUAAUACCGGAUAGGACCACAUUUUGGAUGGUGUGGUGGAAAGUUUUUCGGUGUGGGAUGAGCUCGCGGCCUAUCAGCUUGUUGGUGGGGUAAUGGCCUACCAAGGCGUCGACGGGUAGCCGACCUGAGAGGGUGUACGGCCACAUUGGGACUGAGAUACGGCCCAG
rnacentral:rRNA from 1 species